CUAUCUAGGAGUGGGCAGAACAAGAUGCUUAAAACUUAAAUAAGAAUACAGUCCUAAGUAGGAAAAGAAAGCAUUCAGACCUCUUUCAAAAAUAUUUAUUGCAUUUAGCAUUUACUUUUUCCUAAUUAGAGAGUUUCCAAUAAGUGCUCACAGCUGGCACGUUCAGACACGUUUAUCACAUUACUCCAUGACAUCUCAGAAAGCAAACAGAAAAGAUCUUAAGAAGAAGGAAUAAUGACACAAGAGGCCUCGUUCAGAUGCCAAGUCAGAAGCAAUGCAGAACUACAGAGCCACUGGGAAAUCAAGCAUUUAUCUUCCGUGAACAAAUGUUAACUGUUAACUCAGAACUCCACGUCACAAGUAAUAGGCAGCCCUGAGUCAGCCAGAGCAAGGACUGUGCUAAGGUACAGAUUUCCCCCCCCCCUUUUUUUUUUUA
rnacentral:lncRNA from 1 species